rnacentral:hammerhead_ribozyme from 1 species
AUCCAGCUGACGAGUGCCAAAUAGGACGAAACGCUCGUCCUGGAU